rnacentral:rRNA from 1 species
GAGGGUUUGAUCCUGGCUCAGGAUGAACGCUAGCGGCAGGCCUAACACAUGCAAGUCGAGGGAGAGGUUACUUUCGGGUAACCAAAACCGGCGCACGGGUGCGUAACGCGUAUACAAUCUGCCUUUCACAUAGGGAUAGCCCGAAGAAAUUUGGAUUAAUACCUAAUGGUAUAUAAGAGCGGCAUCGUUUUUAUAUUAAAGCUACAGUGGUGAAAGAUGAGUAUGCGUUCUAUUAGCUAGUUGGAGAGGUAACGGCUCCCCAAGGCGACGAUAGAUAGGGGUUCUGAGAGGGAUGUCCCCCACACUGGUACUGAGAUACGGACCAGACUCCUACGGGAGGCAGCAGUGAGGAAUAUUGGACAAUGGUCGGAAGACUGAUCCAGCCAUGCCGCGUGCAGGAUGACGGCCCUAUGGGUUGUAAACUGCUUUUGUAAGGGAAGAAUAAGGAGUACGUGUACUUUGAUGACGGUACCUUACGAA